UGGCUCGUGCUGGAGAAGCAGGGCACGUGCAAGCUAAAGCUCUCUAAAAUAAGCUUUGCACGUGCUCCCCUUCUCCAACAUGAGUUC
rnacentral:pre_miRNA from 1 species